rfam:Rhizoclosmatium globosum strain JEL800 BCR33scaffold_97, whole genome shotgun sequence.
GGCCUUAUGGUCUAGUAGUAUGAUUCUCGCUUUGGGUGCGAGAGGUCCCGGGUUCAAUUCCCGGUGAGGCCC